GAUGAACGCUGGCGGCGUGCUUAACACAUGCCAGUCGAACGGAAAGGCCCAAGCUUGCUUGGGUACUCGAGUGGCGAACGGGUGAGUAACACGUGGGUGAUCUGCCCUGCACUUCGGGAUAAGCCUGGGAAACUGGGUCUAAUACCGGAUAGGACCACAUUUUGGAUGGUGUGGUGGAAAGUUUUUCGGUGUGGGAUGAGCUCGCGGCCUAUCAGCUUGUUGGUGGGGUAAUGGCCUACCAAGGCGUCGACGGGUAGCCGGCCUGAGAGGGUGUACGGCCACAGUGGGACUGAGAUACGGCCCAGACUCCUACGGGAGGCAGCAGUGGGGAAUAUUGCACAAUGGGCGCAAGCCUGAUGCAGCGACGCCGCGUGGGGGAUGACGGCCUUCGGGUUGUAAACUCCUUUCGCUAGGGACGAAGCGUUAUGUGACGGUACCUGGAGAAGAAGCACCGGCUAACUACGUG
rnacentral:rRNA from 1 species